ACUGAAUGUGCUGGGUGUUGUAGCAGGACUGAGAUGAGUGCUGAGGGUUUACCUGCCACCCCAGUACUGCACAAUGCCAUCUGUAUUGUGGAUUUUUGGGGGUGCCAUCUCAAAACACCGAUGGACUUAAAAGCUCCUCCUGUUGCUAACAAAAAGCUCCUCCUGUUGUAAACAAAAAAGUCUUUUGGGGAAAUUCACACAGUACAGUGGAGAAAGCACUAGAUGCUGUGAUAAUCCAGAUGCAGAGAAAAGGAAG